GCUGCCCUGCUGCUUGCUUACCGUGAGGAAGCUCCACAAGCCAGCACGAUUCUAAUCCUCGCUCACCAGUGCCGCUGAUUACCAAUCCGUCGACGUCGAUGUCCUUCUGCCUGCUACGGACUGCGGUGCAGAACAUACAUCAUGAGAAAACGCGGAGCUUUACCGAGAAAAACAAUCCGUAAGUGAGUGGAUUUGUUACUUGCAGGAAUUUGCGGAGGAGCGGAUCGGGCAUGCAGGGUCGAGGUUGUGCACGCGGCCUCUAGCUUCGCGUGGUUGUGCGUGCGGUGUUUGCCUCUAGCUUCGCUCGAACUGCAAAGUGCCCACAUCAUGCCACAACGUCAUCCCGUAUGGGCAGUAGCUCGCCCGCAGGUCCUGCACUCACAGCACUACUAUACGUGUGCUGCCUCCUCGCGGAAGAACGCACUCGCUCACAACAGCAAGCACCAACGGCCGACGCAACUGCCGCUGCGGGUGCGCCACACCAUCCAAAGCCAGCGCGGGCCUCGCCAUGCGCCGUCCAGCCCCUGGAUGACUCGCCACGAGCCCACGACGGCAUGGGCCUCGUUACUGGCUCAGGCUGGCCGCACAGCAGAUCACGCGUGGACGGGCGUUGCGGCGCCAUGGUGCUGGGA
rnacentral:lncRNA from 1 species